rnacentral:misc_RNA from 1 species
UUAAGUUCAGCCCGUAGUCCUACCUGAUCUGAGGUCAAGUGUUCAUGAGUUUAGGGUCUCCGCUCCCUCCGUCGGCCCCGGCGAGACGUCAAGAAGACUCGCACACCGAGGACCCAUGGCGGGCCAGCGACCGAUGGCUUUCAGGCCACGCCCCCAAACACGCCCGUGGGCGGCGCGGGCGAGGCCCAUGACCACCUUCG